ensembl:lincRNA
AAGGAGCCUAUAAAUAUCUCAGGAAGGAGAACGGAGAGCCUUUUCCUGAGUGGUGCCUGCUUUGUUUAAGGGGUAAGCUCGCAGCGCUGCGGCAGGGCCUGGCAGCCAGGGACCUUGGCAGAAGCUAUAAUAAGAAUGUGGGGUUUUUAAAACUCUGGUCCUAUUGGCUGCCUCCAGUCCAGGCAUAGCUGGCUGGGAAGUCAAUACUCUCUCCACACUGCAGCUAAAUGACCGACCUGAGGAUAAUUGGGGUCAAUUGUCACACAGAGCAAGAAGGGACUGGAGCAGAAAGCUGGUCAACCUGCAUGCAGAUGGAGUUUCCUGUGACCGCCCCCACCUGCCAGGGACAGUAUGAGCCCAUGGGUAUCACCGGCAGGGUGGACCUCAUGUCCUCCACAGCCAGCACACAGUUUACUGGCCAUGAGUGUUCCAAGCUCCACCACUGGAAGUGACUCUCCACAGAGUUCAGUAAGAGAGAGAGAGACACCACAGAAAUCUGAAGAUGGCUUUGCCCUUCGACUCUGCAAUCUGCUCACUACUCUCAGAACUGUGCUCUUCUUGUCUGGAGACCCCCACCCCCAUCACAGGCAGGAGGAGGAUGCUUUGAAGCUCCCACUGGAGCCAGUUACAGCACUUGGUUGUGAAAAACAGUCUCUUUCAGGUGAGCACUCUCUUUGGAGGUAA